CUCAUGCUGACUUGAACACACUGAUUGGGGCCCCUGCCAUGUGUGUCUCUCACUGGGAGCCAGGAAAGUAGGAGGGGAUUGUGAGGUCACUCAGUGGGGAAGACUUUUGUCCUGUGCCAAACUGGAACUGAAGAGGGUUCCCCAUAGGUGCAGUGUCACAAUACAUGCCAGGAACACCAUUCUUCCCAUCCCUGCUGGUCACAGACAGUGCAGGGCUGGGCUUGGCAGGGAUGGGAAGUCAGAAAGGUAGGGAAAGCCUCAUAGUGAAUAUGGGCCUUCCUUUAGGCUUUGAGGGAUGAGCCACCCUGGGUUGGGAAGAAAGAGAAAGGAGCAGGAAUGAUGUUCCAGGGAGGGCGAACAGCCUGGACAAAGAUCUAGAGGUGGGCCAGUCUGAGUAAGAAGAAGAAACCAGGAAAAGGAUUCCUGGUUUCUGGAGCGCUUUACAGACUUCAGCCUCCUGCCACAGCACUGAGACAGCAUCUGUGACCAUGGCCACUUUAUGGUAUGACCAACUGGGACUCUGGUCCACCACCAGAGAGUGAAGUCUCCAGCAGUGGACAUCCCUCAUUAACUUCCUGGGCCUUCUACAGCCUCAAACAUCCAGCCCCUGAGUGAGGGUGGACUAUCCCAGUUAAAUAUAUGAGUUUUUAAAGACAGAGGAGCAAGGAAGACUGCUUGUUAACCACUGAGACCUGACCCAUUCCUCUGCUUUCCACACAUUAGGCCAACCCCUAUACUAUUUAAUUAUUCAAUAAAAUGAACCAAUAAAAGUAUAAUAACUAGA